GACGUAGGGCGCGAGCGUUGUCCGGAUUUAUUGGGCGUAAAGAGCUCGUAGGCGGCUUGUUGCGUCGACUGUGAAAACCCGCGGCUUAACUGCGGGCUUGCAGUUGAUACGGGCAGGCUAGAGUUCGGUAGGGGAGACUGGAAUUCCUGGUGUAGCGGUGAAAUGCGCAGAUAUCAGGAGGAACACCGGUGGCGAAGGCGGGUCUCUGGGCCGAUACUGACGCUGAGGAGCGAAAGCGUGGGGGGAGCGAACAGG
rnacentral:rRNA from 1 species